rnacentral:lncRNA from 1 species
AGCCUAAAUAACAGUUUACGUUCCCCACUUUCUUGACCUUCAUAGGAAUGGGAGAGAGGCAGGCGCUCGCGCAGCAGCUGGAGCACAAGCACAGGGAUGUGAGGUCUGCGUUUUUGUGGCAAUUGAUGAUGGGCUGUAUGACAUUGGAAUGAAUCAAAGCGGCAAGUUGGUUUCUCAUUGGCUUCUUUCCUCAGGAGUUUUCAACUGGCUCCACUUUUAGAUGCCGAAUUGCUCGUGCCGCAUCUGUGAGGAACAAUGAUGUUGAAUAUUUGCAGCAACAGCAGUGGCAGAGGAGCUCCAUGCAUUG